UCACUCCUUAUUUGCUUCCCUUAUCAUUUCUCUCAUGUUCAAAUUCCUUUUUCGUCUUUUCUAUUUUUCUAAUAUACUUUCUCCUUUUCUCAUGAAAGAAAGAAACAACAACAUUUCUCUAUAAAACCGAUACCAACCCACAUUUUUUAACAUGUUGUGUCUCUGAUCUUAUUUGGAUCUCUCACCAGAUCAGAAAUACAGAAUGUCUCACACAUAAUAGAGAUAUGUUAAUGUGUCAUGUGAUCAUAAACCUCCAUCCAUCAAACCACUAUCAACUCACAUUUUUUACCAUGUUGUGCCUACGGUUGAACUUAUUUGGCUAUGUCACCAGACCUCAUACGCAAGAGUCUCACACUUAUGGGAGAGAUGAUAAAGUGCCAAUUGUGACUCAAAGUUCCAAAUUGGAUGCAAGUAGAUCUUGAAAAACAUAUAAGUGAGAUGAUCAAUAUACAUAAUGCUUUAAGGUUUUGGGUGAUGAUAUGGUGUCAAUCUCAGUUGUUUGCUUUGUGAUGACCUAACUCAUUGCAGGCUCCCUUGAAACUCUAAACAUUUUGAUAAAUUAUUUUGUUAGUUUUUUCAACGUUGUUUGUAAACUUUUAUAUUAAGUUGAAGUUUUUUGAUGUUUUUCGCUUUCAUGCAAUAUUUUAUAAUCAAUCUCCAUUAUUUCAACUUCCUUCAA